GCUGAAUGUUUCAGUCAAUAAAAAACAAAAGCCAUUAUUAAAAAGCAAAUCGCGACAAGAAGCGUUUCCACUAAGACCGAAAAAAUGGAGACAGUAGGAGAAGCGACGCCGAGAGUCGCCGUGGUAAUUUUCGUCGUCAAAGGAAACUCGGUGUUGUUAGGGAAGCGCCGCUCAUCAAUCGGAAACUCAACCUUCGCUCUUCCCGGCGGCCACCUCGAAUUCGGAGAGAGCUUCGAAGGAUGCGCAGCGAGAGAAGUGAUGGAAGAAACGGGACUAGAGAUAGAGAAGAUGAAGCUCUUGACUGUCACAAACAACGUCUUCAAGGAAGCACCGAAGCCAUCUCACUACGUCACUGUGUUCAUGCGUGCGACGCUUGUGGAUCCGAAUCAGGACCCGGAGAAUAUGGAGCCCGAGAAGUGUGAAGGGUGGGACUGGUACGAUUGGUUGAAUCUCCCAACGCCUUUGUUCUGGCCGCUUGAGAAAAUGGUCAAAAGCGGUUUCAAUCCUUUUUCUGAUUAAAUGCUGCAAGAAGGGCAUUUGGUCCGGUGGUAUGAUUCUCGCUCAGGGUGCGAGAGGUCCCAAGUUCAAUUCUCGGAAUGCCACUCUCUUUUGUCUCUUUUAAGGACUUAUUUCUUAUCAUCCAGAGGAGAUUAAAGACUGUAUUGAAUAACAUGUUUUUUUUUCUGUGCAAUGGAUUUUAUUUAACUUUUUUUGUGUAAUGGAUUUUAUUUAACCAUGGAUUCCGCUACUAAAGAUUG